GACGAACGCUGGCGGCGUGCUUAACACAUGCAAGUCGAACGGUGAAGCGCCUUCCUUUUUGGUGGGUGUGGAUGAGUGGCGAACGGGUGAGUAACACGUGAGUAACCUGCCCCCUUCUUCUGGAUAACCGCAUGAAAGUGUGGCUAAUACGGGGUAUUCUGGGUCUGUCGCAUGAUGGGUCUGGGAAAGAUAUUGUUUCGGUGGGGGAUGGGCUCGCGGCCUAUCAGCUUGUUGGUGGGGUGAUGGCCUACCAAGGCGGUGACGGGUAGCCGGCCUGAGAGGGUGGACGGUCACACUGGGACUGAGACACGGCCCAGACUCCUACGGGAGGCAGCAGUGGGGAAUAUUGCACAAUGGGCGCAAGCCUGAUGCAGCGACGCCGCGUGAGGGAUGGAGGCCUUCGGGUUGUGAACCUCUUUCGCCAGUGAAGCAGGCCUGCCUCGUUUGUGGGUGGGUUGACGGUAGCUGGAUAAGAAGCGCCGGCUAACUACGUG
rnacentral:rRNA from 1 species